rnacentral:rRNA from 1 species
CAGAUUGAACGCUGGCGGCGUGCUUAACACAUGCAAGUCGAACGCGAAAGGGACUUCGGUCCUGAGUAAAGUGGCGCACGGGUGAGUAACGCGUGGAUAAUCUGCCCUUAUGAUCGGGAUAACAGUUGGAAACGGCUGCUAAUACCGGAUACGCUCAAAAUGAACUUUUUGAGGAAAGAUGGCCUCUGCUUGCAUGCUAUCACGUAAGGAUGAGUCCGCGUCCCAUUAGCUUGUUGGCGGGUAACGGCCCACCAAGGCAACGAUGGGUAGCCGAUUUGAGAGGAUGAUCGGCCACACUGGAACUGAAACACGGUCCAGACUCCUACGGGAGGCAGCAGUGGGGAAUAUUGCGCAAUGGGCGAAAGCCUGACGCAGCGACGCCGCGUGAGGGAUGAAAGGUUUUCGGAUCGUAAACCUCUGUCAGAAGGGAAGAAACUACGUUGUGCUAAUCAGCAGCGUACUGACGGUACCUUCAAAGGAAGCACCGGCUAACUCCGUGCCAGCAGCAGC